rnacentral:rRNA from 1 species
UACGAAGGGGGCUAGCGUUGUUCGGAAUUACUGGGCGUAAAGCGUGUGUAGGCGGUCUUCUAAGUCGGGUGUGAAACCCGGGGCUCAACUCCGGGCCUGCAGCCGAUACGGGCAGACUAGAGUUCGGCAGGGGAGGACUGGAAUUCCUGGUGUAGCGGUGAAAUGCGCAGAUAUCAGGAGGAACACCGGUGGCGGAAGGCGGGUCUCUGGGCCGAUACUGACGCUGGAGGAGCGAAAGCCGUGGGGAGCGAACAGG